GCGCGUUCCCCUCUGGAGGUUUUGAACCUUCAUGCCUGGCCGGACUUUAACAGUCCGGCCUUUUUUUCUUUUUGG
rnacentral:sRNA from 1 species